rnacentral:lncRNA from 1 species
AAAUCUUCCCAUAUAUCUCAAGAUAAUCUCUUUCUUUCAUACACUAAAAAGUUUCACUUCGUUUCUAGGAACUUCACUAUCUCUUUUAUGGUUGUUGGGUGUAUACAGAAAUCCAUUGAUGUCUACCUUAAAACCUCAAACUUGUAGAAGUGUGAAAGUUGUACAUCAUAAAUCUAUGGUAGAAAAUAUACUCACAAGAUUACUAACCCUUUAAUAAUACUGGUGUAGACAUCAAUGACAACAAAAAACCAGCACAAAGAAAAGAAAGCUUGAGGAAAGGCUUGGCUCGAGGAAAACAAUUUCAGAGCAAAACCCAAAAAAAUGAAAAGAAAAGACUCUCAAAGUUUAAGGGACAAGUCAAGGUUCUUCUGCUUCUCUUCUUCAGCUGGCUUCAACAAUUCCUCGCCUCUCUGCCAUAGUUCAGAAGUUGGAAACUCUACUGGAAUCCUUCCUACAUCGAACCUACCGAUGUUUUCACAUGUGGAAGUCAACGGUGGAGCAAUCAUCAUCUGAUGAUGAUUAUAAUGAUUCUCUGUUGAAGUUAGUUUUGCUAUUGCUGGUUGCUGAACUAGUGGUAUCCUUGACCAGUUGAUCUGACCAUACUCACCACCGUAAACGUUAUAUGAACUUGGCUUAUGACUCAUUGAGUGUGCCUGAAUACCCAAGGUUCUGUUGCUGUACUGUCCAUGGAACGGGACCGGAGCAAAACCAUAUGGAUGCCCGAAAGCUGCGGCAGAUGCCAUCCGUUGCCCUCGCUUUGCCAAAGUCCUUUCUCUUUUGUGGGCGUUUUGGUGACCACCAAGCGCCUGUGAGCUGUAGAAUGUUCUUUGACAGUAGUUGCAUGAGAAGAGCUUCUGUUCAGUGGAAGUUGACCCGUUAAAACUCGGAGUGACUACACCUGUCUCUAAGCAGUCGAGGAGAUUGAGUUCUUGAUUGAGCUGUGGUUGACUAGAAUCAUAUCCUGCUAGCAUAAGGUCAAGCUUUAUACCUUCCACUCCUUCUUUUUGGUCAUGAUCAUCUUCUUCUUGUGCUGCUACUGUGUCUAUGUUGUAAUUUUCUAGGCUCAGCUUUGGGGAAUCUGAAAAUUGAAGACUGGUGGAUGCAGAAAUGAUGCAUGAGGAAUCAGAUGAUCUUGGUUUUCCGCUGGAAGAAUCCAUGAGGGGCAAAGAGGGUAUAUAAUUUUCCAGGUGAUGGUUUUGUUCACUUCAAUUGUCUCUCUCUCUCACCUUAUGGAUUAAUAGCUAUAUAGCCUAAGAAAAAAAGAAGCAUAAAAGUCUAGUUUUUUCACAGAAGUGGGAGCAGAAGUUGAUGCUAUAUAAGGAAAGUAUAGACUCAGUACAAAUGCUUUUGGAGUUUGUAAUAAGUGGAGAAAAGUAGUAAGAAGAUGAGAGAGAUAGAGAAAGAGAGAUGGGUAGGUCUUGUUUGCUGACACACCACACACACACACACACAAAGACACAACAAAACACUUGAAGCUGAUUGGAACUCCACCAAUUAAUACCUGUGUUUAUCCCUUUGUAGGAGCAACUUUCACUUCACAUCAACCUUUUUUUGGGCUGCUUUCUCCUUCAAUACACCAAUCUCUAUUCCCUAUCAUGCAUAAUCUUCUUUAACUUUUUUUUUCCUGUUCUCUCAGUCUAUUGCCUUUAUGUGCUUAAAAGUUCUUCAACAAACAAGUAUACAUGUCAUUUCUUUUUCUUAUACCCAGGUUGAUGCCAAUGACAUGUAGAGUUGGGCUUAAUUCAAGAAAGCCAUCCCAAUGAAUAUUUACUUUUUGUCUUGGACUCCUGAUUCUAAUAGGCCCCAACUCGUCUUCAUUUGGUAUAGUUUUGUAUGCAGCCGCGGAUAUGUGUAAGGAAAUUACUAAACCCACCUUAGCCCAACCUACAAAUCUUACAUAGAAUAUGUACAGUAGUAGUCACUAGUUCUAAACUAAUGGAGACUUUAUAGACUCUUUUGUAUGAGGAAAAAAGGAUUUGGAGGGGGGAACAAGACAAAAGAAAGCUUGGCAGUUCAAAAGAUCUUCUGAAACUGGGACCGGUUUUAUUUGUUUGGAUGAAACGACAACUUGUUGUAAUAUUCACGGAGUAGAUGAAGAUGACAACAAGUGACAAUGAAAUUGAAAAGGAUGCUCAAUGACAAGAGAGAGAGAUAAGGAGAGAGUGGACCAAGUGAAACUAUUCAGUUUGCUUCACAUUCACACUCUCCUUCAUCUUUAUAUCCAUUGGAAUCCUUAAUAGUUUGCCGGAUUUUAUGGUUGAAAGGCCAAUAAAUUUUGUUCUGGUUUGGGUGGGAAAACAAAGUGAAACGACAAAGCGUCUCAUCUAUGCUUGCUCGGGAUACGAAUCUUCAGUAUUUGAUUUCUCGAAAACUUUAGCAUAAAUUAAUAUGUGGUGGAAGCCGGAAAAUAUAAAAAUAGGCAAGUAAAAUCCAAAGAACUAAUUGUUAGGACAACUAGUUUAAGUAUGUUGAGUAUUUUGUCGAAUGCGACCUAUAUAUAAUUCGUGGGUCCAAUGUUACAAACGAUCUACAAUUAAAGAAAUUGUGAAAGCUGAUUCGG